rnacentral:rRNA from 1 species
AUAUUUUUUUUGGUGACUCAUAAUAACUUUACGGAUCACAAUAAUUUAUUUUGUGACAUAUCAUUCAAGUUUCUGACCUAUCAGCUUUAGACGGUAGGGUAUUGGCCUACCGUGGCUAUGACGGGUAACGGGGAAUUAGGGUUCGAUUCCGGAGAGGGAGCCUGAGAAACGGCUACCACAUCUAAGGAAGGCAGCAGGCGCGCAAAUUACCCAAUCCUAAUACAGGGAGGUAGUGACAAGAAAUAACAAUACAGGACUUUACGGUUUUGUAAUUGGAAUGAGUUAAGUAUAAACCCCUUUACAAGUAUCAAUUGGAGGGCAAGUCUGGUGCCAGCAGCCCGCGGUAAUUCCAGCUCCAAUAGCGUAUAUUAAAGUUGUUGCAGUUAAAAAGCUCGUAGUUGGAUUUCUGUUAAUACCUUAUAUAUAAUAUUUUUUUUUAAAUAUUAUUAUGUAAGAUUAACAUAAUUCAUAUUUUUUAAGACUGAAUUUUUAGUUUUGAUAAUAUGAAAUUUUACUUUGAGAAAAUUAGAGUGCUUAAAGCAGGCUUUUGCCUUGAAUACUCCAGCAUGGAAUAAUGAUAAAAGAUUUUUAUCUUUUUUUUAUUGGUUCUAAGAUAAAAAUAAUGAUUAAUAGGGACAGUUGGGGGCAUUUGUAUUUAACAGUCAGAGGUGAUAUUCUUAGAUUUGUUAAAGACAAACUAAUGCGAAAGCAUUUGCCAAGGAUGUUUUCAUUAAUCAAGAACGAAAGUUAGGGGAUCGAAGACGAUCAGACACCGUCGUAGUCUUAACCAUAAACUAUGCCAACUAG